rnacentral:rRNA from 1 species
UACGUAGGGUGCAGGCGUUAAUCGGAAUUACUGGGCGUAAAGCGUGCGCAGGCGGUUUCUUAAGUCAGAUGUGAAAGCUCAGGGCUUAACCCUGAAAUGGCAUUGAAUACUACUGUGCUGGAGGUUUGGAGGGGGGACUGGAAUUCUUGGUGUAGCAGUGAAAUGCGUAGAUAUCAAGAGGAACACCAGUGGCGAAGGCGAGUCCCUGGACAACACCUGACACUGAGGCAUGAAAGCUAGGGGAGCAAACAGG